CUUUGAAGUUCCUUAUAAUGCUAUUGUGGCAACAAGCCGUUGUGCAUUGAUGUUUGCCCGAUCUAGUGGUCUUCUUUCUGGAAAAGAUGUUGCUGGUGAUGAAUGGAACAAUUUUGCACCUCACAUUUCUGUUUUCCAAAAAGAAACCAGCAGAAGAUUUUUUGGUUUUAAUAAAAAUGUUUUCUUGGACAAAGGGAUUGACUUAUUUGACAUGCAGAGCAAGAUUUCUGUACAUGCUAGAUCGUUUUCUAAAGAUUUAGGAACAUUUUCCGCUCGCUUCUUCCACCCUUGCAAAGGUCCAAAAGAUUGAUGUCACAAAGAAUGCNNAUGCUCAACCAUUUAGCCUAUGUAUGAUACAAAGUAGAUAAGAGCAUGGAGUGACUAUUUAUAGGAUGCCGAGAGCGUUUUCCACAAGAUUUCCAUGCCCGAUUUCUUGCACUUGAGAUCCUUGCAUCGCAGCAUCUCAGACAUUCAUCAAUCGUCAACACAGUCUCUCUCACUCUCUCUCACUCUCUCUCAGCCUCAAGCAAAAUUGCAGCAUCUCCUGUGACCAGCAUCUCGGGCUUUGGCGCUUAGCAGCGCUUCAAUCUCAGGCUUUGUAUUUUAAUUAUUUGUUUUGAUUUUUUAAUGAUUAAUUAUUGU
rnacentral:misc_RNA from 1 species